GAUGAAGAACGUAGCGAAAUGCGAUAAGUAAUGUGAAUUGCAGAAUUCAGUGAAUCAUCGAAUCUUUGAACGCACAUUGCGCCCGCCAGCAUUCUGGCGGGCAUGCCUGUUCGAGCGUCAUUUCAACCCUCGAGCCCGACUCUUUUGAGGACGGCUCGGCGUUGGGGGACGGCAGACUCCCCCCGGCAUCUCGCCGGGGACGCCGCCCCCGAAAUCUAGUGGCGGCCCUCCGAGGCGACCUCUGCGUAGUAACUUGUUCUCGCACCGGAAAGCUCAGAGCGGCCACGCCGUAAAACCCCAACUUUUUUCAGGUUGACCUCGAAUCAGGUAGGACUACCCGCUGAACUUAAGCAUAUCAAUAAGCGGAGGA
rnacentral:misc_RNA from 1 species